AUUGAUCCCGUCGGACCCCACUGCUAUCGAGAUGGGACUAAAGUAUGCUAGUCGAACGACCAGAACUAUGUCUGGAAGUGGCACACUGCUCAGUAACACGUAGCUAACCUACCCUUAGGACGUGGAUACCCCCGAGAAAUUGGGGUUAAUCCGCGAUAGAUGUAAUGUCCUGGAAUGGUAUUACGUCUAAAGGUAUUUCAUACAUGUUUGAAAUAUGCCUAAGGAUGGGGCUGCGGCCGAUCAGGCUGUUGGUGAGGUAAUGGCUCACCAAACCUUUGACCGGUACGGGCCAUGAGAGUGGUAGCCCGGAGAUGGACACUGAGACAAGGGUCCAGGCCCUAAGGGGCGCAGCAACCGCGAAACCUCCACAAUGCACUCACGUGCGAUGGGGCUAUCUCGAGUGCCACCUGAUGAAGGUGGCUUUUUCCUUGGUCUUCAAAGCCUUGGGAAUAAGAGGGGGGCAAGACUGGUGUCUGCCGCCGCGGUAACACCAGCCCCUCGAGUGGUGGGGAUGAUUAUUUGGCCUAAAGCGUCCGUAGCCGGCCGAGCAAGUCUUCCGUUAAAUCCAGCGUCUCAAGCGUUGGACCGCGGGAGAUACUACACGGCUAGAGAGUGGGAGAGGUCAGCGGUAUUCUGGGGGUAGGGGCGAAAUCCUUUGAUCCCCGGAGGACCACCAGUGGCGAAGGCUGCUGACUAGAACACGUCUGACGGUCAGGGACGAAAGCUGGGGUAGCGAACCGGAUUAGAUACCCGGGUAGUCCCAGCCGUAAACGAUGCAUGCUAGGUGUUGGGUUGGCCACGAGCCACCCCAGUGCCGCAGGGAAGCCGUUAAGCAUGCCGCCUGGGAAGUACGAUCGCAAGAUUGAAACUUAAAGGAAUUGGCGGGGGAGCACCACCAGGCGUGAAGCCUGCGGUUUAAUUGGAGUCAACGCCGGGAACCUUACCGGGAGCGACAGCAGAAUGAAGGCCAGAUUGAAGAUCUUGCCAGACGAGCUGAGAGGAGGUGCAUGGCCGUCGCCAGUUCGUGCCGUGAGGUGUUCUCUUAAGUGAGAUAACGAACGAGACCCGUGCCACAUGUUGCCACCAGUAUCUAAAGGAUAGCUGAGCACUCUUGUGGGACCGCAGCCGAUAAGGCUGAGGAAGGUACGGGCAACGGCAGGUCAGUAUGCCCCGAAUCUCCCGGGCCACACGCGGGCUGCAAUGGUACAGACAGAGGGCUGCCACCCCGAAAGGGGGAGCCAAUCCCUAAACUGUACCUCAGUUGGGAUCGAGGGUUGCAACCCACCCUCGUGAACAUGGAAUGCCUAGUAACCGCCAGUCAUCAUCUGGCGGUGAAUACGUCCCUGCUCCUUGCACACACUGCCCGUCGAACCACCCGAAUGAGGUUUGGGUGAGGAAUGGUCGAAUGUUGGCCGUUUCGAACCUGGGCCUCGUAAGGAGGGUUAAGUCGUAACAAGGUG
rnacentral:rRNA from 1 species